rnacentral:rRNA from 1 species
GAUCAGGUACCCAUGUUUAUUGUACCUUGUUGCUUCGGCGGGCCCGCCUCACGGCCGCCGGGGGGCUUCUGCCCUCUGGCCCGCGCCCGCCGAAGACACCAUUGAACACUGUCUGAAGAUUGCAGUCUGAGCAAUUAGCUAAAUAAGUUAAAACUUUCAACAACGGAUCUCUUGGUUCCGGCAUCGAUGAAGAACGCAGCGAAAUGCGAUACGUAAUGUGAAUUGCAGAAUUCAGUGAAUCAUCGAGUCUUUGAACGCACAUUGCGCCCCUUGGUAUUCCGGGGGGCAUGCCUGUCCGAGCGUCAUUGCUGCCCUCAAGCACGGCUUGUGUGUUGGGCCCCGUCCUCCUUCCCGGGGGACGGGCCCGAAAGGCAGCGGCGGCACCGCGUCCGGUCCUCGAGCGUAUGGGGCUUUGUCACCCGCUCUUGUAGGCCCGGCCGGCGCUUGCCGACAACCAUCAAUCUUUUUUCAGGUUGACCUCGGAUCAGGU